UGAUGGUUAACUGCACGUCCGAACUGGUAGUUCAAAUCAAGCUGUCAAUUUGCACGUCCUCAAUUUAGUUGGUUGCACAACAGCUGUGGUAGAAGCGUGGAACGCGAUUUCGGAGCAGGUAGGAGCCGGGAUUGACAAAAGCUGCUUCCCGAUAUCAAGAAGCUCGAAGAUACUCAGUUCAUCGUCCUUCAUCAAUCUUUCAGUUAUUCUUUCUACAGUCACGAGGCACUUCUUCUCUCUGAUUCUGCUCUAUGAUACCUCUUUUCUCUGGCUGAUUGGCUUUUAGUUGACAUCGCCUGAUCCAUGACGAUGAGAGGCCCGCGUUACCCUCGAGCAGUUUCCCGACGGAGAUCGUCGCCAUGCUCAUGUGUAUUGGCGGUGUUCCUGUCGAUCUCUAUGUUUAUUCUUGUGCUUCUUUCCCUCGGCAUCUUGUCCCUUCCUAUCAAAUCCAAAGACGCGCCCAAAGUUGAGCUUCGCUCCGAUCGAUCUGUUUACGAGAAGAUUAAGACGGAGCGGGGAGAGCAAUGGGUGGAGGUGAUCUCUUGGGAACCUAGGGCUUUCAUCUACCAUAAUUUUUUGUCUAAUGAGGAAUGCAACUACUUAAUUGAAUUGGCAAAGCCUAAUAUGGAGAAGUCAACUGUUGUUGACAGCGCAACUGGCCACAGCAAGGAUAGCAGGGUUCGAACUAGUUCUGGCACAUUUCUCAAAAGAGGCAGAGACAAGAUGAUUCGCUCUAUUGAGAAACGACUAUCAGAUUUCACUUUUUUACCUGUCGAGAAUGGCGAGGGCCUUCAGGUUCUCCAUUAUGAAGUCGGUCAAAAAUAUGAAUCUCACUAUGAUUACUUCCUUGAUGAGUUCAACACUAAGAAUGGGGGUCAGCGCAUAGCUACUGUACUUAUGUAUCUUUCUGAUGUUGAGGAAGGUGGUGAGACAGUAUUUCCAUCAGCCAAAAUAAACAGCAGUUCUUUGCCAUGGUAUAACGAAUUAUCCGAGUGUGGAAAAGGUGGUUUGUCUGUUAGACCAAAGAUGGGUGAUGCAUUGCUUUUCUGGAGCAUGAAGCCUGAUGCAACGUUAGAUCCAUAUAGUUUGCAUGGCGGAUGCCCUGUGAUUAGAGGAAACAAGUGGUCUUCUACGAAAUGGUUCCGUGUUGAUGAAUACAAGGUGUAAUUUAAACAGGAAAGUCAUCUUUCAUCAGUUGUGCACCGCAAAUGUAACUUGGUAGAUGGGUGAUAAUGGCACUUAAAGAAGUCCAUCCAAGGAAGAUUGUCCCUUUUUCUUUAUAUUAGGCAGUUUUGAACAUUCGGCCCUGCACAUGAUUUGAUUCCCGUAUUUAUCUCACAGAAGAUUCUGAUUGGGAUGAAGAUACUUUUACCUCACUUGGUUGUGCUCAAAUCUCAAGCAUUUUAUAUUAUUAUUCAAAUUGUAGCUUUUAACUUGAAAGAUAGCGGGAGUCUGCUCCUGUGUGCAAUUCCUUAGUUUAUUUUAACAAAGAAAAUAUACAUCUGUUGUUAGAAGUAUGAGGUGAAAUUGUAACCAUUUCUCUUUUUAUCUUCUUGAGAGUGAUCGUUGUAUUCCUUUAUGUUGUAUUAGUAUGAGUUCUCUUUGCCUCCGCAGGAAA